CACGGGGGGAGCAAGCGUUGUUCGGAUUCAUUGGGCGUAAAGGGCUCGUAGGUGGCUUUGUAAGUCGGAGGUGAAAUCCCACGGCUCAACCGUGGACACGCCUUCGAAACUGUGAAGCUUGAGGCUGGGAGAGGAGAUCGGAAUUCCUGGUGUAGCGGUGAAAUCUGUAGAUAUCGAGAGGAACACCGGUGGCGAAGGCGGCUUCCUGGCCCGUACCUGACGCUGAGGCGCGAAAGCGUGGGGAGCAAACAGG
rnacentral:rRNA from 1 species